rnacentral:tRNA from 1 species
GUCUCUGUAGCGCAGUGGAUAUCGCGUUGAAUUUCUAAUCCAAAAGUCGUGGGUUCGAAUCUCACCUGGGAUA